GUUUAGAAAGUGGGCUGUUACAGUGCUGGAUUAAUAAAAGGGGCCUUUAUGGUUUGUGAAAGAAUAUCUCUGUGCUUAGGCAGGAAACUUUUUGAUCCACAGAAAAGCCAGACGACAUCUAGAGCAAGAGAAGCCAACUUGAGGAGCAUGCAUAUUGUGAUACCCUCAGUGGUUUCUUUUACAAUAUGUUCUGCUCCAGCCAGUGAAUUUUGUUUAACUGACCAGUGAAAGAAAAAUUAAAAUGAAAAAGGAAAAUGAAGAAGUUAAUGAUACCAGAUUUCAGCGAAGCAGGAUCAUAUUUUGUGAUAGAACAGCUAAUAGCUGGAGAACUCUGACAUGAAAGUCCCAAGCAGCCCAGCCUUAGCAGGUAGCAAGGAAAGAAUAGAAUGUGUACAGAAAGAAUACAGCUACAACUGAUGCCUGGAAACAUAAGUACAACUGGCUUUUUUGUUUUUUUUUCCUGAGGUCCUCAAAAUCAAACUCUAUACUAUUUGUGAGAACCUGUUGUCAUCGGGGUUUUUCAGAAUUAUAAAUCAAUGGCAACUGUAAUCUAAUUCCUCAAGUCAAACUAUUUGGUUCAAGUUUGCAAAUGUGAAAUAAGCUUGUUUUCAUUAUUUCAGAUGUCAGAAACAGUUCAAAAUAAAUUAGGAUAUUGAUGAAUAUUUCUGUAUCCUUAUC